rnacentral:rRNA from 1 species
GUUACUCUAGGGAUAACAGGCACAGUUUCAGGUGGGCAGUUUGUCUGGGGCGGUGGCCUCAUAAAAGGUAACGGAGGCGCGCAAAGGUCCCCUCAGUCUGGUCGGAAAUCAGACAUUGAGUGUAAAGGCAAAAGGGGGCUUGACUGCAAGAC